rnacentral:rRNA from 1 species
GUGAAGAAGGCCUUUUGGUUGUAAAGCACUUUAAGCAGUGAAGAAGACUCUUCGGUUAAUACCCGGAGACGAUGACAUUAGCUGCAGAAUAAGCACCGGCUAACUCUGUGCCAGCAGCCGCGGUAAUACAGAGGGUGCAAGCGUUAAUCGGAAUUACUGGGCGUAAAGCGAGCGUAGGUGGCUUGAUAAGUCAGAUGUGAAAUCCCCGGGCUUAACCUGGGAACUGCAUCUGAUACUGUCAGGCUAGAGUAGGUGAGAGGAAGGUAGAAUUCCAGGUGUAGCGGUGAAAUGCGUAGAGAUCUGGAGGAAUACCGAUGGCGAAGGCAGCCUUCUGGCAUCAUACUGACACUGAGGCUCGAAAGCGUGGGUAGCAAACAGGAUUAGAUACCCUGGUAGUCCACGCCGUAAACGAUGUCUACUAGUCGUUGGGUCCCUUGAGGACUUAGUGACGCAGCUAACGCAAUAAGUAGACCGCCUGGGGAGUACGGCCGCAAGGUUAAAACUCAAAUGAAUUGACGGGGGCCCGCACAAGCGGUGGAGCAUGUGGUUUAAUUCGAUGCAACGCGAAGAACCUUACCUGGUCUUGACAUAUCUAGAAUCCUGCAGAGAUGCGGGAGUGCCUUCGGGAAUUAGAAUACAGGUGCUGCAUGGCUGUCGUCAGCUCGUGUCGUGAGAUGUUGGGUUAAGUCCCGCAACGAGCGCAACCCUUGUCCUUAGUUACCAGCGGGUUAAGCCGGGAACUCUAAGGAUACUGCCAGUGACAAACUGGAGGAAGGCGGGGACGACGUCAAGUCAUCAUGGCCCUUACGACCAGGGCUACACACGUGCUACAAUGGUAGGUACAGAGGGCAGCUACACAGCGAUGUGAUGCGAAUCUCAAAAAGCCUAUCGUAGUCCAGAUUGGAGUCUGCAACUCGACUCCAUGAAGUAGGAAUCGCUAGUAAUCGCGGAUCAGAAUGCCGCGGUGAAUACGUUCCCGGGCCUUGUACACACCGC